rnacentral:rRNA from 1 species
CCUAAGUAUGAGCACAGUUAGUGUGAAACCGCGAAUGGCUCAGUAAAUCGGUUGUGGUCCCUUGGAUCUGAAAUUCAUUACUUGGAUAACUGUGGUAAUUCUAGAGCUAAUACAUGCCUAAAAAACUUCGCCCUCGCGAGAGGACGGGGUGCAUUGAUUAGAUCAAGACCAGCGGGGCUUCGGCCCCUUACAACUGGUGACUCUGAAUAACCACGCUGAUCGCACGGCCAUGUGUCGGCGACGGUUCGAUCGAGUGUCUGAACUAUCAGCUUGACGGUAGGUUAAGAUCCUAUCGUGGCGGUGACGGGUGACGGGGAAUCUGGGUUCGAUUCCGGAGAGGCAGCCUGAGAAACGGCUACCACAUCCAAGGAAGGCAGCAGGCGCGCAAAUUACCCAAUCUCGGCACGAGGAGGUAGUGACGAAAAAUAACGGUGCGGCGCUCGUCAGAGUGUCCGUAAUCGGAAUGAGUCGGCUCUAAAUCCUCGAACGAGGAUCAAUUGGAGGGCAAGUCUGGUGCCAGCAGCCGCGGUAAUUCCAGCUCCAAUAGCGCAUAUUAAAGUUGUUGCGGUUGAAACGCUCGUAGUUGGACGUCGGUACCGGGCGUUGCGGUCCGCGCGAGUUUCGCGGCCACUGUUACGACCGGUACGGAAUGCCCUGGUCGCCUUCCGGUUCUCUUUAUUGGGUGUCGGGGGUGGCGGGCACGUUUACUUUGAGAAAACCAGUGUGCUUAAAGGGUGGCACUUCAAUGAAUGCUCGAAUGUUGUUGCAUGGAAUAAUGGAACAUGACCUCGGCUCAAUUUUGUUGGUUUCUGGGGGCCGAGGUAAUGAUUAAUGGGAGUAGUGACGGGGGCAUUCGUACUGCGGCGCGAGAGGUGAAAUUCUUGGACCGCCGCGGGACGCACCGAGGCGAAAGCGUUUGCCAAGAACGCUUCCAUCAAUCAAGAGCGAAAGCUAGAGGUUCGAAGGCGAUCAGAUACCGCCCUAGUUCUAGCCAUAAACGAUGCCGACCGCUGAUCCGCCGUGGUUAAUAAUCCGACCCGGCGGGACGACUCUGGGAAACCAGAGUCUUUGGGUUCCGGGGGAAGUAUGGUCGCAAGGCUGGAACUUAAAGGCAUUGACGGAAAGGCACCACCAGGAGUGGGGCCUGCGGCUUAAUUUGACUCAACACGGGAAAUCCUACCAGGCCCGGACACCGGAAGGAUUGACAGAUUGAGGGCUCUUUCUUGAUUCGGUGGGUGGUGGUGCAUGGCCGUUCUUAGUUCGUGGAGUGAUCUGUCUGGUUAAUUCCGAUAACGAACGAGGCUCCAACCUACUAACUAGGGUGAUUUAGUCCGAGGUGCACGUCUCGUGGGGAGCUCGCCGUCGUUCGCGGCGUGUGAUGUCUCUCCCGGAAACUCGGCCGUACUUCUUAGGGGGACGAACAGCGCUCAGCUGCAUGAAACGGAGCAAUAACAGGUCUGUGAUGCCCUCAGAUGUCCUGGGCUGCACGCGCGCCACAAUGGAGGUCUCAGCGCGUCUACCCCGACCUAGAGGGCUGGGUAAUCGCUGAAAGUCCGCUUCUUAGUGGGGAUAGGGGACUGAAAUGUUCCCUUGCACAAGGAAUUCCUAGUAGGCGCCUCUCACUAAUCGGGGACGAUUGCGUCCCUGCCCUUUGUACACACCGCCCGUCGCUACUACCGAUUGAAUGGUCCAGUGAGGCCUUUGGACCGGCCGGUUCCGGGACCGUUUCGGCGUGUUCUGGUACGUGGUUUUUCCGGGAAUCUGUCCAAACUUGACCGUUUAGAGGAAGUAAAAGUCGUAACAAGGUUUCCGUAGGUG